GGCGCUGCAGUGUAUCGUUCAGUCGUAAAAUUCGGUUGUGUUUGUCUGUACAGAUUUCGCGAGGACGAACGAAGGAGAUCGAACAGUAUGGUAUACAGCAUCUUGCAGUGUAGCAUCGACAGCCGUUGGCGAUCGAAGCUUUGUUUGUUUUCGUCAGACCAGCAGUGGUGUGAUAAGUCCACUACGAUUUCUGCUACUUAUACUUUUUGAAGAUGGACUUCAAACAAUUCUUUAUUAUAAUACUUUUGGCCGUUUUGUCGUCUACCGGCCUUAGGUACAGGUUUGCGGAGAACUGGGAAUUCGUUAUAAACCUCAACUUGUUGGGGCUGUAUGGGUUCCGCCGACUUUUUCAAGACAUACGGACUCGCCACUUUCAGUAAAAUCACGUUAAAACAAUUACGAUGUAUACAUGUGAUUAACAAUUAUUCCAUGAAUAAAAUAAGAAGAAAAUAUGAUAUAUAAUAUAACUUUCAAUAAAUAAA